rnacentral:rRNA from 1 species
UACGUAGGGGGCAAGCGUUGUCCGGAUUUAUUGGGCGUAAAGAGCGUGUAGGCGGCUAGAUAGGUCCGUUGUGAAAACUCGAGGCUCAACCUCGAGACGUCGAUGGAAACCAUCUGGCUAGAGUCCGGAAGAGGAGAGUGGAAUUCCUGGUGUAGCGGUGAAAUGCGCAGAUAUCAGGAAGAACACCCGUGGCGAAGGCGGCUCUCUGGUACGUGACUGACGCUGAGACGCGAAAGCGUGGGGAGCAAACUGG